rnacentral:rRNA from 1 species
GGCCCUAUGGGGUGCAGCAGGCGAGAAACCUUUACAAUGCACGAAAGUGUGAUAAGGGAAUCCCAAGUGCCUUGCCAUUGGUAAGGCUUUUGUUGAGUGUAAAAAGCUUGGUGAAUAAGUGAUGGGCAAGACCGGUGCCAGCCGCCGCGGUAACACCGGCGUCACUAGUGGCAAUCAUGUUUAUUGGGCCUAAAGGGUUCGUAGCCGGUUUAGUAAAUUUCUUGUGAAAUUGUUGGGCUUAACUCAACAACGUGCAAGAAAGACUGCUAGACUUGGAACCGGGAGGAGGCAGAGGUAUUCCGGGGGGAGCGGUAAAAUGCAAUAAUCCCCGGGGGACCACCUGUGGCGAAGGCGUCUGUCUAGAACGGGUUCGACGGUGAGGGACGAAGGCUAGGGGAGUGAAAAGGAUUAGAUACCCUUGUAGUCCUAGCUGUAAACGCUGCGAGCUAUGUGUUGCAUGUUCUUCGAGAAUAUGCAGUGCCUGAGCGAAGGUGUUAAGCUCGCCGCCUGGGAAGUACGGUCGCAAGAUUGAAACUUAAAGGAAUUGGCGGGGGAGCAC